rfam:Melampsora larici-populina 98AG31 unplaced genomic scaffold MELLAscaffold_4, whole genome shotgun sequence.
GUUAGUGACAUAUUACUCCUUACCGCAUCCCGUCAGAUCUGCGCAGUCAAACAUUGUAGGGCCGAAGCAGUAGUGCGGUGGGGGACCACGUGUGAAUACUCUGGUGCCCCAGGUA